UGGCGACCGGCGCACGGGUGAGUAACACGUAUCCAACCUGCCGAUGACUCGGGGAUAGCCUUUCGAAAGAAAGAUUAAUACCCGAUGGCAUAGUUCUUCCGCAUGGCAGAACUAUUAAAGAAUUUCGGUCAUCGAUGGGGAUGCGUUCCAUUAGGUUGUUGGCGGGGUAACGGCCCACCAAGCCUUCGAUGGAUAGGGGUUCUGAGAGGAAGGUCCCCCACAUUGGAACUGAGACACGGUCCAA
rnacentral:rRNA from 1 species